GAUGAACGCUGGCGGCAUGCCUAAUACAUGCAAGUCGAACGAACAGAUGGGGAGCAUUCUCGUCUGACGUUUGCGGCGGGCGGGCGUGUAACGUAUGCAUCACCUACCUAUCAGACGGGGAUAACCCCGGGAAACGAGUUAUACUACCAGAUCAUAUAUUGAACGGCAUUGAUCAUGGGUGAAACGCGGUUUUGCGGGCACUUAUAGACGGUUCCGGGCCGCAUUGGCGAGUUGGUAAGGUAACGGCACAGCAAGGCAACGAGGCGUAGCCGGUCUGAGCGGGAGAUCGGCCACCCUGGAACUGAGACACGGUCCAGACUCCUACGGGAGGCAGCAGUAGGGAAUCUUCCGCAAUGGGCGAGAGCGCGAGACAGCAACACCGCGGGAGUGAUGAAGGACUACGGCUCGUAAAGCUAUGUUAGUAGGUAAGAACAAAUGUAUGAGUAGCUCGGGAGGUAUUGACGGUACCUAAUGAAUAAGCCACGGCUAACUACGUG
rnacentral:rRNA from 1 species